ACAAAACACGUCACAUGCUCGUUACUGCCACCUCUGGCCAGACCUGUUUACAUCACUUUGCCCUGUUGGAAGAAAAGCACAUGGAGGAAUCGUCUCAACUUUCAUCCGACGUAAUCCGUCAAUAUUCAGUGUUUUUGAAGAGUGUUAAUGAAGUGGACCUGUAAACUGAGCCCAUUUUCAACGUGGAAUCAGAGGGUCAUCAGAAGACAUACUCUCAUACAUAUGACUCCUGCAUUCUAUGAUGUGAAUAUUAAUGAGCUCAGAGUUUUUUCUAUUUUGUUUUUGUUUAACAUUGUGUUUGUGUUUGUGUGUUUCCUUUUGCAUUUCAGGAUUCCAACAGAAUAAGCGAACAACAGUCCUGCUUGGCAUGCCCCACUUUCUUCGUCAAGAUACUUCCAGCAUUCUAAAGACCUGUGAGCCAACUGGUCCAGUUGAAGAUGUCUUAAAAGAAACCAGUGUGGGGAUCCUGAUCGUGUAUGAGGACUGCAGCAAAUGCGUGGUUCUACAAAAUCAAUGACAUAUGUCUUGUUUUGGAGGAACAGUUUAUCGUCAUGGACAUUUCCAAUAUUCCAAAGGCCUUUGAACUCUUUGGACUGAUGGGUCUCAAUAUGGACUACCCGAAGCAUCUAAAAUUCACGUUUGAAGUACUACAAAAGCUGUUCUUGAACAUUGGAGGGAGCUCCUCUUCACAUGAACAUUGCAGCUGCUUUCUCCGAAACAGGCUGCUUGGUAAAGAGUAGUACAACAACCUUCCGUAGAACUUGGACUUGGUCCUCAGUUUUGAUUUGUUUUUAUGUUUUCAGAUUAUUUUUUCUAAUGUAGCAUAAUGGGUUUCCCCCCCAAAUUUGAUGCGCUGUACAUCCACCUGUGUAUUUUUAGUUAGUUUUUGUUUUUUUCUUCGAUAUU